rnacentral:rRNA from 1 species
AGUGAACGCUGGCGGUAGGCCUAACACAUGCAAGUCGAACGGCAACACAGUACGAGCGUGCGCUUCCGGGUGGCGAGAGGCGGACGGGUGAGGAAUACAUCGGACUCUACUCUUUCGUGGGGGUUAACGAAGGGAAACUUACGCUAAUACCGCAUACGCCCUACGGGUGAAAGCAGUGGAUCUUCGCGCCUUGCGCGAUUGAAUGCGCCGAUGUCGGAUUUGUUAGUUGGCGGGGUAAAUGCCCAGCAAGGCGGCGAUCCGUAGCCGGUCUGUGAGGAUGGUCAGCCGCACUGGAGGGGGAACACGGUCCAUGCGCCUACGGGAGGCACCAGUGGGCAAUAUUAGGCAGUGGGCGCGAGCCUGGCCCAGCCAUAGCGCGUGGGUGAAGGAGGCCUUCGGGUUGUAAAGCCCUUUUGUUGGGAAAGAAAAGCAGCAGGUUAAUACCCCGCUGUUCUGACGGUACCCAAAGAAUAAGCACCGGCUAACUUCGUG